UCCUCUGACAUCGGGCCCGCCUGACUUGAAGAGGCUUCUGCGCGCCCACCCUGCCUGGGUCCUCCACCCCGCGCGCUUUGAGGGAAGCGCUGCUGAAAGAGUGUCAAAGAAACGAGGGCAGGGAAUUGAGGGGGGACAUAGGAAGGAGUCUGGGAAAGAGUUCCCACCCACCCUUGCCCAGCCCGGGACGCAUGGGGAGUGGGCGGGCCCAGAUCUGGCACACCCGCACCUUUACUCUCAACUCCAGACCUCCUUGGCACUGUUAGCAAAGGUGGUGAGCUGCUGACUGCAGAGAAAGUAACUGCUGAUGUGGAAUCUUUGUUGUGGGCUGUCUUGGCAAUGCAGGAAGGUGAGCAGCAUAUCCGGCCUCCAACCACAGGUUAUUCAAAGAGUAAACAGUUUGCUGAAGCCAUGACAGAAAUCAGCAGACCUGGCUGACCUGCUGCAGGGCCCUGCUUGGCACGGACAGCUUCUCCUUGUAACGUUCUUCUCCCACGUAGUUGUUGGUGCUCCUGUUUUAGAUGUGUCGUCACUUCUCUUUGGUGUCAAAUUCCCCAUUCCUGGAUGGCAUUAGAGCAGAUUAUGCUAACUGAAGUUAGCCAGUCCCAAAAAACACAAAUGCCAAAUGUCUUCUCUGAUAUAAGGGGGGGGUGACUCAAAAUGGGGUAGGGAGGAAGA